UACGGAGGUGGCAAGCGUUGCUCGGAUUUACUGGGUGUAAAGGGCACGUAGGCGGUCCAAUAAGCCCCGCCUGAAAUACUCUGGCUCAACCAGAGUAGGUGGCGGGGGACUGCUGGACUUGAGGAUGAGAGAGGCGAGCGGAAUUCCCGGUGUAAGGGUGAAAUCUGUAGAGAUCGGGAGGAACACCAGUGGCGAAAGCGGCUCGCUGGCUCAUUUCUGACGCUGAGGUGCGAAAGCUAGGGGAGCAAACAGG
rnacentral:rRNA from 1 species